GGUGAGGCGCAGCGGGGGGCAAUCAACCCUGUGACAUACCUAAACGUUGCCUCGGCGGGAACAGACGGCCCCGUGAAAACGGUCCGCCCCCGCCAGAGGACCCCCUAACUCUGUUUCUAUAAUGUUUCUUCUGAGUAAAACAAGCAAAUAAAUUAAAACUUUCAACAACGGAUCUCUUGGCUCUGGCAUCGAUGAAGAACGCAGCGAAAUGCGAUAAGUAAUGUGAAUUGCAGAAUUCAGUGAAUCAUCGAAUCUUUGAACGCACAUUGCGCCCGCCAGUAUUCUGGCGGGCAUGCCUGUUCGAGCGUCAUUACAACCCUCAGGCCCCCGGGCCUGGCGUUGGGGAUCGGCGGAGGCCCUCCGUGGGCACACGCCGUCCCCCAAAUACAGUGGCGGUCCCGCCGCAGCUUCCAUCGCGUAGUAGCUAACACCUCGCGACUGGAGAGCGGCGCGGCCACGCCGUAAAACCCCCAACUCUUCUGAAGUUGACCUCGAAUCAGGUAGGAAUACCCGCUGAACUUAAGCAUAUAUAGGCCCGGAAGGAAAGUUCCUUUCCCGGG
rnacentral:sRNA from 1 species